AUCCAACUGACGAGUCCUAAAUAGGACGAAACGCGCAUCCUAGAU
rnacentral:hammerhead_ribozyme from 1 species